rnacentral:rRNA from 1 species
UACCAGCUGCCCGAGUGGUCGGGACGGUUAUUUGGCCUAAAGCAUCCGUAGCCGGCCCUGCCCGUCUUCCGUUAAAUCUAACGGCCCAACCGUUAGGCUGCGGAAGAUACCACAGGGCUAGGGGGCGGGAGAGGUGGACGGUACUCCAAGGGUAGGGGUAAAAUCCUCUGAUCCUUGGAAGACCACAGGUGGCGAAGGCGGUCCACCAGAACGCGCCCGACGGUGAGGGAUGAAAGCUGGGGGAGCGAACCGG